AGGAGGCAGCAGUGGGGAAUCUUGCGCAAUGGGGGAAACCCUGACGCAGCAACGCCGCGUGGGUGAUGAAGGCCUUCGGGUCGUAAAGCCCUGUCAGGUGGGAAGAAACCUGUCGAUGCCAAUAACAUCGAUAGUUGACGGUACCACCGGAGGAAGCACCGGCUAACUCCGUGCCAGCAGCCGCGGUAAUACGGAGGGUGCAAGCGUUGUUCGGAAUUAUUGGGCGUAAAGCGCGUGCAGGCGGUUGGGUAAGUCAGAUGUGAAAGCCUUCCGCUUAACGGAAGAAGUGCAUUUGAAACUGCCCGGCUUGAGUUCGGGAGAGGAGAGUGGAAUUCCCGGUGUAGAGGUGAAAUUCGUAGAUAUCGGGAGGAACACCGGUGGCGAAGGCGGCUCUCUGGCCCGAUACUGACGCUGAGACGCGAAAGCGUGGGGAGCAAACAGGAUUAGAUACCCGUGUAGUCC
rnacentral:rRNA from 1 species